rnacentral:ncRNA from 2 species
AAAGUAAAACUUAAUAUGACUCAUAUAAUUUUGGGGAUAUGGCCCAUAAGUUUCUACCGGAUGACCACGGUAAUCAUCCGACUAUGAGUGAAAGAGCAUCUAGG